rnacentral:rRNA from 1 species
UACGAAGGGGGGCUAGCGUUGCUCGGAAUCACUGGGCGUAAAGCGCACGUAGGCGGAUCUUUUAAGUCAGGGGGUGAAAUCCUGGAGCUCAACUCCAGAACUGCCUUUGAUACUGAGGAUCUUGAGUCCGGGAGAGGUGAGUGGAACUCCGAGUGUAGAGGUGAAAAUUCGUAGAUGUUCGGAAGAACACCAGUGGCGAAGGCGGUUCACUGGCCCGGGUACUGACG